AUUGAACGCUGGCGGCAUGCUUUACACAUGCAAGUCGAACGGCAGCACGGGUGCUUGCACCUGGUGGCGAGUGGCGGACGGGUGAGUAAUACAUCGGAACGUAUCCUAAAGUGGGGGAUAACGCAUCGAAAGAUGUGCUAAUACCGCAUACACUCUGAGGAGGAAAGUAGGGGAUCGAAGGACCUUAUGCUUUUGGAGCGGCCGAUGUCUGAUUAGCUAGUUGGUAAGGUAAUGGCUUACCAAGGCAACGAUCAGUAGUUGGUCUGAGAGGACGACCAGCCACACUGGGACUGAGACACGGCCCAGACUCCUACGGGAGGCAGCAGUGGGGAAUUUUGGACAAUGGGCGCAAGCCUGAUCCAGCCAUGCCGCGUGAGUGAAGAAGGCCUC
rnacentral:rRNA from 1 species